AGUUUAAGGAAAAAAUCUUAAAUUAAUUCUGCCCAAUGAUUUUUUUAAUGGCCGCAGUACCUUGACUGUGCUAAGGUAGCAUAAUCAAUUGGCUUCUAAUUAAAGUCUGGAAUGAAAGGAAAAAUGGGUUAAUUCUGUCUUAAAAAGUUUUUUUUGAACUUAUUUAUAUGAUGAAAAUAUCAUUUCUUAGAAAAAAGACGAGAAGACCCUUAGAGUUUUUACGUAAUAGUUUUUGUUGGGGCGACAAUUAAACAAUAGAUAACUUUAUUAUUUAUUUAAAUCGACUUUUAGUAAGAAUGAAUAAACUACCUAAGGGAUAACAGCAUUAUACUAUAAAAUGAUUGUGACCUCGAUGUUGGACUAGGAACUUUAUGGCUAGCCGUCAGAAAAGAUUUGUUCUGUUCGAACAAUUAUAUCCUAC
rnacentral:rRNA from 1 species